rnacentral:rRNA from 1 species
UGCGUAGGCGGCCUAUUAAGUCAGUGGUGAAAGGUAUCAGCUUAACUGAUGACGUGCCAUUGAAACUGAUAGGCUUGAGUACAGACGAGGUAGGCGGAAUUUAUGGUGUAGCGGUGAAAUGCAUAGAUACCAUAAAGAACACCAAUUGCGAAGGCAGCUUACUAGACUGAGACUGACGCUGAGGCACGAAAGCGUGGGGAGCGAACAGGAUUAGAUACCCUGGUAGUCC